AUAUAUAAAUAAAUAAAUAAAUAAAUGAUCAUUUCAUAUUUAAGUUAACUGCCACGUGAUUCUCCGCCCAUGCAGGCAGCCUACUCUAUUUCAAUGAGACCACACAUACUAGGGGCACUUAAAUUCUAGUAUGUGAACUAAGAGAGGUAGGAUACUGAAGUUAAAGCAGCGAAUUCUGAGUGUGUGAAUAAUGCGAAAAAUAUGUGCUUUUAAUACAAGAGGUAGGCUAACGCAUUUAAAGCAGAAAGAGGACCGUUUCCAAAUAACUUGUGGGACAGCAAAAAUAUUUUUAUCCCAAGGUCGUCUGUCUGACUGCCGCAGAAUGAAAAAUGCAGACCGCGCACCAAUAAUCUCUGUCGGGACCCGCAAGUCCUGCAAGCAUCGCGUGGGAAUGCAGCCCUCUAGUGCACAGUCAUCUUACCAGGAUCAGAUGGUGACAGAGGUCCCAGCAGAGUCAAACAGCCAGGGAAGACCAGACUACGGAGCACAGGCGAGCAGUAUAUUAACAACAUCAGUGAAUGAUACAAAGUUCCAUCUUAAAUUGAUGGGUAGACCUACAGUAGCUACAGGGCAGCAUCUUAAGCUUAAAGCUACAGUCUGGGAUCUGGGAAUAAUGAUAAUUUCAAUGAUUGAACCGUUGAUUCUAUUCUUGGAUAAUACAUUGUAUAAAUGUACACCAAGGUAAUUCUUUGUCAUGCCUCAUCUUAGGAGGAUCAGAUGGUGACAGGGGUCUCAUUAGGGUCAGGCAGCCAGGGAAGGCCAGUCUGUGAUGGAGCUGAGGGGAAUUUUUGCAGAUACAACACUUUAUUCUCUCUGUGCAGAUGCUAUUUUAAGACAAACCUUAAGUUGAUUUCCAAACUGUAUCAAUGGUUGAUAGAGGCUUUUCCUGAUGACACAAAACAUAUAUAGUAAAACAAAAUGUGAGGAAGAUCUGGUAGAAGCUAUUGAUAAUGAUGAAUGGAUACAGAUAUGUUUGAAUGCCCAGUCAUGUUCAUAACAUCUCAGACAUAAAUUACUGCAGUUUGAGACCAUCAAUAGAACGUACUAUUUGCCAGUGAAACUGAAUUACAUGCACUCAGAAAUGUCAUUCCGCUACUGGAGGUGUAAAACACAGAAGGGGACAUAUUUGCAUAUGUUAUGAUCUUGUGAAGGCUGGUUGAAUUCUUGCAAAGAGUAUGUACUUUUAUCUCAGCAUGUCUACAGAUUCUCCCUGUGUUUGUUUACUUGGAAAUGUUGAUACUGGAGACUGUUAACUGAAGAAACUGUAACCAAGCGUUUAUAGUGGCCAAGAAAUGCAUUGCCAUUAAUUGGAAGGUUGGUUAUCCUCCCACAAUGUCAAGUUAUGUAUCACUUGAUUUUAUUUAAUACAAGAUUAAGUGUAUACUGGGCAACUUUCAUAAUGUCUGGGUGCCUUAUAUGGAAUACAGUACAACUAAAGGAAUCUGUAUUGAAAACAUGCCCACGUCAGGACAGAUACCUACAGUACAUUCGGAGAGUAUUCAGACCCCUUGACUUUUUCCACACUUUAUGUUACGAUUGGACAUGAUUUGGAAAGGCACACACCCGUCUAUUUAAGGUCCCACAGUUGACAGUGCAUGUCAGAGCAUAAACCAAGCCGUGAGUUUGAAGGAAUUGUCUGUAGAGCUCAGAGACAGGAUUGUGUCAAGGCACAGAUCUGGGGAAGGGUACCAAAAAAAUGUAUGCAGCAUUGAAGGUCCCCAAGAACACAGUGGCCUCAAUCAUUGUUAAAUGGAAGAAGUUUGGAUCCACCAAGACUCUUCCUAGAGCUGACCGCCCGGCCAAACUGAGCAAUUGGGGUAAAGGGGCCUUGGUCAAGGGAGGUGACCAAGAACCCGAUGGUCACUCUGAAAGAGCUCCAGAGUUCUUCUGUGGAGAUGGGAGAACCUUCCAAAAGGACAACCAUCUCUGCAGCACUCCAUCAAUCAGGCCUUUAUGGUAGAGUGGCCAGACGGAAGCCACUAAUCAGGAAAAGGCACAUGACAGCCCGCUUGGAGGUUGCCAAAAAGCACCUAAAGACUCUCAGACCAUGAGAAACAAGAUUCUCUGGUCUGAUUAAACCAACAUUGAAUUUUUUGGCCUGAAUGCCAAGCGUCACGUCUGGAGGAAUCCUGGCACCAUCCCUACGGUGAAGCAUAGUGGUGGCAGCAUCAUGCUGUGGGGAUGUUUUUCAGCGGCAGGGACUGGGAGAUUAGUCAGGAUCGAGGCAAAGAUGAACGGAGCAAAGUACAGAGAGAUCAUUAACGAAAACCUGCUCCAGAGUGCUCAGGACUUUAGACUGGGGCGAAGGUUCACCUUCCAAAAGGACAACGACCCUAAGCAGACAGUCAUGACAACACAGGAGUGGCUUCAGGACAAUUCUCUGAAUGUCCUUUAGUGGCCCAGCCAGUCCGGACUUCAACCCGAUCUAACCUCUGUGGAGAGACCUGAAAAUAGCUGUGCAGCGAUGAUCCCGAUCCAACCUGACAGAGCUUGAAAGGAUCUGCAGGGAAGAAUGUGUAACGAUCGUCGUCGGGUGAUGAGGAAGCGGACCAAAACGCAGCUGGGAGUGAACACAUGUUUAUUCUUUACACUGAAAUAAACACGUACACAAAACCAAGACAAGGCCGAUACGUUAACUUGCUCAAACACAGAGGCAACACCCCACAAACAGCGUGGGGGAAAAAGGAACUUAAAUGUGAUCCCAAUCAGAGACAACUAGCGACAGCUGUCUCUGAUUGGGAAUCGACAGAACCCAACAUAGAAAUAAACACCUAGAGCUAACACAAGGCUGGGGGUACAAGCAGAAAUAGGGGAGUACUAACUAACUCUCAUAGUAGUAGAUGUGAGUUUCUCUUUCAAACAAUCCGCUGUCCUUGUACACAGCUAGGAGCGAACAUUCGCCAAAGCAAGCUAGCUACUGAUAGUGCAACCCUAAGUAACAGUACAGAUGAAGAUGAAAAAUGAUCAGGCCUAGUGUACAUCUUACUGUAGAAAUUAUUGUUGAUAACUAGUCUAAGUUGGAACUGUUGCUGUUAAAAUACAAUAGCAGUUCAGAAUAAAAAUAUGUAUUGCAUUUUAACAGCAACAGUUGCAACCUAGACUUUCUAGGUUGGAAUAAUUUCUACAGUAAGAUGUACAGUAGGCCUGAUCAUUUUUCAUCUGUACUGUUACUUAGGGUUGCACUAUCAAAAAGCCUGUGUGUGUGUUCUGUUGUUCAUCUGUGUGAUGUGAUCAAUACGUUUAUUCCAGUUCAGAAUGAAAAUUAUUUAUUGUAUUUUUAACAGCAACUGUUCCAGCCUAGACAGAUCUGUAAGUGUUUUAAUGGGGGAAAAUAAACAUGAUUAGAUAUUUAUAUGGAUAUUUAAUUUCAUUGUUAUUUUUUUUUUGUUGUUGUCUAUAUUUCAUUUGUUUUAGGCAUAAGGGCAAUGAAAUGUACCAAUAUUUAUGUAUAGUUGCAUAUUUUCCUAAGCUACAAAUACCUAGGUGUCUGGAUAGACUGUAAACUCUCCUUCCAGACUCACAUCAAACAUCUCCAAUCCAAAGUUAAAUCUAGAAUUGGCUUCCUAUUUCGCAACAAAGCAUCCUUCACUCAUGCUGCCAAACAUACCCUCGUAAAACUGACCAUCCUCGACUUCGGCGAUGUCAUUUAGAAAAUAGCCUCCAAUACCCUACUCAAUAAAUUGGAUGCAGUCUAUUACAGUGCCAUCCGUUUUGUCACCAAAGCCCCAUAUACUACCCACCACUGCGACCUGUAUGCUCUUGUUGGCUGGCCCUCGCUUCAUACUCGUCGCCAAACCCACUGGCUACAGGUCAUCUACAAGACCCUGCUAGGUAAAGUCCCCCCUUAUCUCAGCUCGCUGGUCACCAUAGCAGCACCCACCCAUAGCACGCGCUCCAGCAGGUAUAUCUCACUGGUCACCCCCAAAGCCAAUUACUACUUUGGCUGCCUCUCCUUCUAUUUCUCUGCUGCCAAUGACUGGAACGAACUGCAAAAAUCUCUGAAACUGGAAACACUUGUCUCCAACACUAGCUUUAAACACCAGCUGUCAGAGCAGCUCACAGAUCACUGCACCUGUACAGAGCACAUCUAUAAAUAGCCCAAACAACUACCUCUUCCCCUACUGUAUUUAUUUAUUUAUUUUGCUCCUUUUCACCCCAGUAUUUCUACUUUGCACAUUCAUCUACUGCAAAUCUACCAUUCCAGUGUUUUACUUGCUAUAUUGUAUUUACUUCGCCACCAUGGCCUAUUUAUUGCCUUUACCUCCCUUAUCUCACCUCAUUUGUUCACAUUGUAUAUAGACUUAUUUUUCGACUAUAUUAUUGACUGUAUGUUAGAGUUACACAUGGAGUAAAACAGUGUUGUUGUAUGUGUCGAACUGCUUUGCUUUAUCUUGGCCAUGUCGCAGUUGUAAAUGAGAACUUGUUCUCAACUUGCCUACCUGGUUAAAUAAAGGUGAAAUAAAUAAAAUAAUAAAAGCUUGGGCCCCAGGAAAACACAGAAUUUCUUAUUUGGGUCACAGACUGAAAAAGUUUAAGAACCCCUGCUCAAGUCUGAUCCCUCCUGAUGACCUGGAUGGAAUUGACCCUUCGCUAAGCCCCGCCCCCCUUGGUUACUAUUGAAACCUCAGACAACAUUUUCCCAGGAAGCUGAAUUCCCCCUUCUAACCACUGGCGAAAUCCCCUCACAAUGAUCUCAAACUGUGUUUUUAAUGAAAACCUUCUUGAUUUCCACUAAUGCGAUUCUGCCAUUACAAUACCCUAUGAAAAUCCUGCCUACUUCCUGGUGCAUGUCCCAUACUGUUUGUGAUUGUACAUAAAGCUUAUAUCAGCUUAUAAAUUCAUGAAAAUGGGACUUCAUAGGGUAUUGCUUCAUGGGAAUCUGGUAAAAUUAUGUCUGAAUUCACUGUCAGCAUACAGUCAAAGCUACUAGCCAUUUUGGAGUUGUGCCCUCAAAUCGUUUGCUGAUGUCGACAUCAGAUGGGAGUUGUAUUAAUAGCAGGGCUGUCCCCGACAACAAAAGAAUAUUAGGCAACCAAAAGUCGUCUGUUCUUUCGACCAAUCGAUUGGUGGAUUUAAUUUUUUUUAUUUGUUGUACUUUGUACCCCCAUUUAUUCUCCCCAAUUGGUAGUUACAGUCUUGUCCCAUCUCUGAAACUCCCCAAUGGACUCGGGAGAGGCGAAUCCCUAGAGUGUCCAAAGCUGUCAUCAAGGCAAAAGGUGGAUACUUUGGUUACACUUUUUUGGUUACUACUUGAUUCCAUGUGUUAUUUCAUAGUUUUGAUGUCUUCACUAUUGUUCUACAAUGUAGAAAAUAGUAAAAAUAAAAAAAAACCUUGAAUGAGUAGGUGUGUGUGUACAAUGGGGCCUCCCGGGUGGCGCCGUGGUCUAAGGCACCAGAGACUCUGGGUUCGAGCCCAGGCUCUGUCGCAGCCGGCCGCGACCGGGAGGCCCAUGGGGCGACGCACAAUUGGCCUAGCGUCGUCCGGGUUAGGGAGGGUUUGGCCGGCAGGGGUAACCUUGUCUCAUCGCGCACUAGCAACUCCUGUGGCGGGCUGGGUGCAGUGCGCGCUAAUCAGGUCGCUAGGUGUACGGUGUUUCCUCCGACACAUUGGUGCGGCUGGCUUCCGGGUUGGAUCCGCGCUGUGUUAAGAAGCAGUGCGGCUUGGUUGGGUUGUGUUUCGGAGGAUGCAUGGCUCUCGACCUUCGCCUCUCCCGAGUCCGUGCGGGUGUUGUAGCGAUGAGACAAGACAGUAACUACUAACAAUUGGAUACCACGAAAUUGGGGAGAAAAAGGGGUUUAAAAAAAAAAGAGCUCCAACUUCUUAAUCAUAGCCUCAAUUUUGUCCCGCACAUUGAUAUAGUUGCGAAAAGUCCCUGUAAUCCUAUAUUCAGAUCAUUCAGGCGAGAAAGAACAUCACCCAGACAGGCCAGUCGUGUGAGAAACUCGUCAUCAUGCGAGCGGUCAGACAAGUGAAAAUUAUGAAUAUCCCACCAUUAUAGGACCAAGCAGCAUGCCCAGGAGGUAAAGGAGAGUUGGACAUGGGAAGAAAUACUGGAUGGAUGCGAGACCCUUCCUUGGCGGGAGUCGCCAAGGAGUAAAAGAGGACAGCAACAACGCCGGGGUCCGCGGCCACAAACAGCCCAAGGGCAACCCCAAGAUUUCUUUUGGGGGGGGGCACAAGGGGCGGUCAGCCGAGGAGAGAGCCAGAGACAGUCUGGGAGUUGAUGGAGCAGUUGGAGGAGGGAUAUCGGAGAGAGAUGUUGGUUAGGUGUAUUCUGCAGCGCACUCGCCCUGAAGAGCAUGUCAUCAGUCCGGUGAAACCUGUGCCGGUUCCAGGCCUCCAGUGCGCCUUCCCAGCCCUGUUACUGUCACGCCCUGACCAUAGAAAGCCCUCGGGGUUCUCCAUGGUGUUUUAGGUCAGGUUGUGACUAGGGGAGUUUUCUAGGGAUUAUAUCUCUAUGUUGGUGUGUGAGUAUGGUUCCCAAUUGGAGGCAGCUGAUUAUCGUUGCCUCUAAUUGGGGAUCAUACUUAGUGUGUCCUUUUUCCCACCUGCAAUGUGGAAUAUUGUUUCGUAUUAGUGCCUAUGUGCGCUACAUACUGCACGAUUGUUAUAGCUUUGUUGUUUUUGGAAGUUUCACUAUUAAUAAAAUUUGGAACUCUACUCACGCUGCGCUUUGGUCUAAUUAUUUAUAUGACGGUCGUGACACAUUGCAUAAUGCAGAAAAUACACGAUAGUUCAGGGGCCUUGCUUUAACAAAGUUAACCAUUUUCACUGUGAUGUCGAAAACGUAUUUCAAGCUAUCAGGCAUUCCCUUGGCAGCAAGAGCCUCUCGGUGAAUGCUGCAGUGUACCAAAGUGGCGUCAGGAGCAACUGCUUGCACGUGCAUUACCACACAACUAUGUAUUUCUGUCAUGGCUUUUGCGCCAUCAGUACAGAUAUCAACACGUCUUGAC
rnacentral:lncRNA from 1 species